rnacentral:rRNA from 1 species
UACGUAGGUGGCAAGCGUUGUCCGGAAUUAUUGGGCGUAAAGCGUGCGCAGGCGGUUCGCUGUGUCCGAUGUGAAAGCCCCGGGCUUAACCUGGGAAUGGCAUUGGAAACUGGCGGGCUUGAGUGUGGCAGAGGGGGGUGGAAUUCCGCGUGUAGCAGUGAAAUGCGUAGAGAUGCGGAGGAACACCGAUGGCGAAGGCAGCCCCCUGGGCUAACACUGUCGCUCAGGCACGAAAGCGUGGGGAGCAAACAGG